rnacentral:lncRNA from 1 species
AGCAAGUAACUGUUUAGUCAUAAGCUGGCCAUAUCAAUAUGCAAUAAUAUGCAAAUGAGCCCAGUACUGCACAUCAAAAUCAGAAAGGUGAUUUAAGGGAUAGCACACAAUAGUAAACCUGUUUGUACGAUACUAAUUUCUUCAAUUUUAUUAAAAAAGAAGAGUAACCAGAAAAAUGAAAUAAGAAAUAACACGUAAUAGUGCGACAAGGUUUAUCAGAUUUUAUUAAUAGAAGAAAUAACAAGGUAUAAUAGAAGAAAUAACCAGGAAAAAAUGGUUAAGAACACUGGCAAUACCAGUAGGAAAGUAUAAUCUCCAGGUCUUGCUGCUUUUGGAGAAUGGCUCAAGAACACUGGCAAUAACAGUAGGAAAGAAUGAAUUGAUACAAUGUUAUGUAUCGGCAGUAAAUCUACCCUUCAAGUGUGUAGAAAACCUUAAUUUUAAAAAAGAAACACGCAAAGGUAUGUCUGGAAUAUGUUUAUAAAACUUUAAUUAAUUAGCACGAUAAUUGAUAAAUAUUUGCUAGAUAAGCAAGGAUGAUUAUAUGUGUAAGUUAUGCACCCGUCACACGGACAUCUAAUGUAAAAAGAUUGUGAUCUCAAAGUAUGUUUAGCAUAAUAAUUAUAUCGGUUAUAUAUACAUAUAGCAACUUGUGAUUUGUGUAUAUUUUAUGAUUUUAGUUGACUGAAGAGGGGCAUUAUUAACCCGAAAUGUAUAGAAAAUAAUGUGUAUGCGUAUCAACUGAACUGAAUAAAAAUUAAGAUGAAAAAUGCCAAGUGGUCCAGUGGUUGCACUACAUAGUGUUAAAAAAAGAUAUUUGAACAAGUUGGCAAUUAAGGCUUCAGGUCAAGAAGGCCAUCAGGAGGUCUUUUUCUUUGUAUAAAUGAGAAUUUAGGAAAUGUGAUUUUGCUGAAGGCAACUCAAUAUUUAAUCAUUAUAAGACUAAUUUUUGAUCAAAAGAAAUUCAGUAAUUCUUGAAAUCUAAUUAUUAUUUUAUAUUGCAUAUACCUGUUUUUAAUAACAUAUUUGCCAAUCCGGAAGACUUGAUUUCUAGUUAUUCUGUUGAUCACAAUCUUCUAUUAUUGGUUGAUUCAAAUGCCAGGAUUGGCACAAAAAAUGGACAGUUUUUCAUGGUAAUAUUAUUUUAAAUUCAUGAUUAUCAAAUGAUUCGGUUAUCAAUAAGCAGGGUGACCAGUUUAUUCAAUUGGUUAAAGAUUAUAAUUUAUAUAUAAUAAAUGGUCAUCACCCUCAUGAUUCCCCAGCUAAUUUACAUACAUAUCCAAGUUUGGAACAUUAGUGAUCGAUUUAUUAGUAUUGAGUGAGGGACUGACCAAGCAUCUUGGGGAUUUUUAUAUUUCUGAGGACUAUAUGUCAGACUAUCUUUUGGUAGUACUAUAAUUAUCAUUUGAUAACACAAGAAAAGAUGAUGCUAUUCAAAAACAACAACAGGAAAGGUUAACUUGGAAAGAAGAAAAAGCAAACUUGUUUACUGAAGCAGUUAACAACUUGU